UAUUUAAUAAACCAUGUAGAGCCUACGGAUAGACAAUGCUCUAUCGUGGAACAACCAUAUUGAGCAUAUUAGAUUGAGACUCUCAUCGCUCCUUGGCUCCCUACGUAACAUCGCUCAAGUUAUACCACACAAAUUAAGACAUACUAUUUAUAAUGCUCUUGUAAAACCACACAUCUUGCAUUUAAUUGAAAUAUGGGGAAGCUCAGCCAAAACAAAACUGUCAGACAUUCAGAUCCUGCAAAAUAAAAUCAUUAAAAUGUUAUUUUUACUACCACGACUUACUGUUACUAAAAAAUCUACAGUGACACAAAAAUAAUGAACAUUCGACAAUUAUAUACAUUUACAACUUGUAUUUUUAUAUGGAAAUGUCUCAAUAAAAAAGUACAGACGGAUCUUAAUUUUACUUACCAUAGAGAUGUAAGCAAACGUAGUAACCGACGUGCCAGUCUUCUAGUGCUACCUAAAACACGCACAAACUAUGGAAAAAAAAUAUUACAUUUGAAGGAGCACAGUUGUAUAAUAAAAUACCUACUAACAUACGAAAUGUAAAUUCACUCAGUGUUU